rnacentral:antisense_RNA from 1 species
CCCUUGGCUCACCUUCCCCCAUCCACGCACCAGGAGCGGAGAGCCCGGAACUAAGAACAGUAGACCCAGAGAGGUGAGACCGGCCCCAAGCACCUGGGUCCUCAAGAAGAGUCACCGUUUCCGUGCCAGGAGGAUCCAAGGUGGGGAAACUGAGGCUGAGAGAGAAGGACGUUGACCAAGGUCACAGGGCAGGAGCAGCAGAGACAGAGUCUCGCUAUGUUGCUCAGACUGGUCUCCAACUUCUGGCUCAAGCGAUCCUCCUGCCUUGACCUCGCUAAGUGCUGGGAUUACCGAAUGGGAGCCACCAUGCCCAGUCUUUACUCAAAAUUCACCUUCUCCCUGGGUCUUCUCUGGAGACCCUAGCUUUAAAAAUAAACAAGUAAA